rnacentral:rRNA from 1 species
AGAGUUUGAUCCUGGCUCAGGAUGAACGCUAGCUACAGGCUUAACACAUGCAAGUCGAGGGGAAACGACAUCGAAAGCUUGCUUUUGAUGGGCGUCGACCGGCGCACGGGUGAGUAACGCGUAUCCAACCUGCCCACCACUUGGGGAUAACCUUGCGAAAGUAAGACUAAUACCCAAUGACGUCUCUAGAAGACAUCUGAAGGAGAUUAAAGAUUUAUCGGUGAUGGAUGGGGAUGCGUCUGAUUAGCUUGUUGGCGGGUAACGGCCGACCAAGGCGACGAUCGAGUAGGGGUUCUGAGAGGAAGGUCCCCCACGAUUGGAACUGAGACACGGUCCAAACUCCUACGGAGCA